AACGCGAAGAACCUUACCAAGGCUUGACAUGGACCGGACCGGGCUGGAAACAGUCCUUCCCCUUUGGGGCCGGUUCACAGGUGGUGCAUGGUUGUCGUCAGCUCGUGUCGUGAGAUGUUGGGUUAAGUCCCGCAACGAGCGCAACCCUCGUUCCAUGUUGCCAGCGCGUAAUGGCGGGGACUCAUGGGAGACUGCCGGGGUCAACUCGGAGGAAGGUGGGGACGACGUCAAAUCAUCAUGCCCCUUAUGUCUUGGGCUUCACGCAUGCUACAAUGGCCGGUACAAAGGGUUGCGAUACUGUGAGGUGGAGCUAAUCCCAAAAAGCCGGUCUCAGUUCGGAUUGGGGUCUGCAACUCGACCCCAUGAAGUCGGAGUCGCUAGUAAUCGCAGAUCAGCAACGCUGCGGUGAAUACGUUCCCGGGUCUUGUACACACCG
rnacentral:rRNA from 1 species